rnacentral:rRNA from 1 species
AUUGAACGCUGGCGGCAGGCCUAACACAUGCAAGUCGAGCGGAUGAAGGGAGCUUGCUCCUGGAUUCAGCGGCGGACGGGUGAGUAAUGCCUAGGAAUCUGCCUGGUAGUGGGGGAUAACGUCCGGAAACGGGCGCUAAUACCGCAUACGUCCUGAGGGAGAAAGUGGGGGAUCUUCGGACCUCACGCUAUCAGAUGAGCCUAGGUCGGAUUAGCUAGUUGGUGGGGUAAAGGCCUACCAAGGCGACGAUCCGUAACUGGUCUGAGAGGAUGAUCAGUCACACUGGAACUGAGACACGGUCCAGACUCCUACGGGAGGCAGCAGUGGGGAAUAUUGGACAAUGGGCGAAAGCCUGAUCCAGCCAUGCCGCCUGUGUGAAGAAGGUCUUCGGAUUGUAAAGCACUUUAAGUUGGGAGGAAGGGCAGUAAGUUAAUACCUUGCUGUUUUGACGUUACCAACAGAAUAAGCACCGGCUAACUUCGUG